rnacentral:lncRNA from 1 species
CACCACUUAGUGGCCACGGUGGCAAUCCGGUGCCCUCCACUGACCUCUUCGCUGCUGCACCUUUUUCCUAUACUCUCACUCCUUCUCUCUCUAUCUCUUUCAAUUAAAUAUUCUAUCGGACAACAUAGAGUCAUGGAUGCCUUUGUGGCCCUCUGACAGCCUUGGCGGGCCAUCGUUGACCCCCAACGAUGUCAUCCCCUACUUUUCUUUCCUACUUUCUUUUCCUCUCUUUUCCUGUUUUUUGUUCUAU